ACGCGUGAGAAUCUGCCUUCAGGUCUGGGACAACCAGUGGAAACGUUGGCUAAUACCGGAUGUGCCGAAAGGUGAAAGGUUAACUGCCUGAAGAUGAGCUCGCGUCUGAUUAGCUAGUUGGAAGUGUAAUAGACUCCCAAGGCGACGAUCAGUAGCUGGUCUGAGAGGACGAUCAGCCACACUGGGACUGAGACACGGCCCAGACUCCUACGGGAGGCAGCAGUGGGGAAUUUUCCGCAAUGGGCGAAAGCCUGACGGAGCAAUACCGCGUGAGGGAGGAAGGCUCUUGGGUCGUAAACCUCUUUUCUCAGGGAAGAAUAAAAUGACGGUACCUGAGGAAUAAGCAUCGGCUAACUCCGUGCCAGCAGCCGCGGUAAUACGGAGGAUGCAAGCGUUAUCCGGAAUGAUUGGGCGUAAAGCGUCCGCAGGUGGCUGUGAAAGUCUGCUGUUAAAGAGUCUAGCUCAACUAGAUAAAAGCAGUGGAAACUACACGGCUAGAGUGCGUUCGGGGCAGAGGGAAUUCCUGGUGUAGCGGUGAAAUGCGUAGAGAUCAGGAAGAACACCGGUGGCGAAGGCGCUCUGCUAGGCCGCAACUGACACUGAGGGACGAAAGCUAGGGGAGCGAAUGGGAUUAGAUACCCC
rnacentral:rRNA from 1 species